CACGGGUGAGUAACACGUAUCCAACCUGCCGUCUACUCUUGGACAGCCUUCUGAAGGAAGAUUAAUACAAGAUGGCAUCAUGAGUUCACAUGUCCGCAUGAUUAAAGGUAUUUUCCGGUAGACGAUGGGGAUGCGUUCCAUUAGAUAGUAGGCGGGGUAACGGCCCACCUAGUCAACGAUGGAUAGGGGUUCUGAGAGGAAGGUCCCCCACAUUGGAACUGAGACACGGUCCAA
rnacentral:rRNA from 1 species